rnacentral:rRNA from 1 species
GACGAACGCUGGCGGCGUGCUUAACACAUGCAAGUCGAACGAUGAAGCCGGAGCUUGCUCUGGUGAAUUAGUGGCGAACGGGUGAGUAACACGUGAGUAACCUGCCCUUGACUCUGGGAUAACUGCUAGAAAUGGUAGCUAAUACCGGAUACGACCCUCGGCGGCAUCGCCAGGGGGUGGAAAGAAUUUCGGUCAAGGAUGGACUCGCGACCUAUCAGCUAGUUGGUGAGGUAACGGCUCACCAAGGCGACGACGGGUAGCCGGCCUGAGAGGGUGACCGGCCACACUGGGACUGAGACACGGCCCAGACCCCUACGGGAGGCAGCAGUGGGGAAUAUUGCACAAUGGGCGCAAGCCUGAUGCAGCAACGCCGCGUGAGGGAUGACGGCCUUCGGGUUGUAAACCUCUUUUAGUAGGGAAGAAGCGAAAGUGACGGUACCUGCAGAAAAAGCACCGGCUAACUACGUGCCAGCCGCCGCAGUAA